rnacentral:lncRNA from 10 species
UUUCUCUGUCUCGCUCUUCCUCCGCCCCCCGACCACACCCCCUUAAAGGGCCAGCCCCUCUACAGGCCCCUCUCCCCUACUCCGCCCCCGGGCAGGGGUAGGGGAGGGUCUAUUCGGCAGGGGGUGGCCUAGCUGUCCGUACUCCCCAAACGCAACCUUCCAGUCCCAAACCCAGGCGUUCUAAGCGCUCAGGACGACGAUUUGCGCUCACGCCAGGACCCUAGUCUUCAUUGGACCCUUCCUCAUUCUGUCCUCAUUGAGGCCAUCUGAGAAUAGGGGCUAUCUGAGAAUGCAGGGGAGUGGACAUCGUGUGCAGACAGGGAGUCUGAUUGUGAGUGCCACGGGGCUGAGGCCUGCGCCGACCUGGUCUGCUGGUGCUACCAGGCUUGAACAGUCUUCAAAUCCACUGCUAUUAGGCAAAUUACCUGGCUCCCGCUGAACUCCAGCACCUAGAACUAUGUCACACUCGUAGUAGGCCGCUGCAUUGGUUGAACAAAUGAUUUUGAAAGAAUGAAUGUCUUCCUCUGUGCCUGCAUUUCCUCAGAAGGCUGUAACAAAGAUUAAAUAGGAAAAUUCGUGGAAAGUUCAAUUACUACACCACAGAGGGUUGGUGUGAAGGUCUCCAGCCAUGUCCGUGUCCAC